AGAUAACAUUCAUGACACAAGUCACCAAUAGCGUGUAAACCGGAUGAUAGCUUCCAGCCUACGUCUCAUACCUUUACCUUGAAAGGCGGCUGGAAGAUAAAUUCAAUUCGACAGACUAAGAAGAUACUAUCGUUGACUUGGAGCCCCACCUCUGUUAAUUAUUUCUACGCUCUCACCAAACGGGCUACAUAUAUCGUGGAAAUGCUCACGCUCAAAGGAAGAUCACUGAAGAAUACUGACCCGUGGCAUAACAUCUUUCUUCCCAAGCGUAAGAUUGAAUGGAGUACAAUUGACACAGGAAUGUGCACUACAAAUGAUGAUCUACCCUGCAUAUACACAUUCGGAAAGGUAAAGCGUGGUUCCACAUAUGCGAUGUUCCUGCGUUCAUACCUGGAAGUCAAGAAUCCACGUCAUCUUGUGCUGGAAAGGGAAAAGGAAAUAAAAAAAAAUAUUCCUGCCACAGUGCUCUCAUGUAUAUUUGCCUGCAAUGGAAAGUUCGGAAUGGGUGUAUAUCUCCGUCAAGGCGACAGUGCAGCGGUACAGAAGUACAGUAUUGAUGUUUUUAAAGGUGCACUUGUACUGGAUGGGAGGGUGGAUGUAAAAGGACUGGUGCAGAUGCCUAAGAACAUAAAAUGGAAUAGUAAUGGUACAGUUGCCUUUGCUUUGUGUGAAAAAACGUUUUAUAUCAUCAUCAGGUGUUGCAAUGAUAAGGAACAAGUGGACAUGGAAGUGAAACAUAAAUGGAUUGGAUGGUAUGCACUUUAUUGGACAAGCACAUCCAUUGUAGUCUAUGACGCACAAAAUGGGGGUACAUGGGCGGUCUUUUUAUCUGUUAAGUUUACAUAAUUUGGUAAAAUGACUGUAGCUGACAUUUCUUCGCGAGUCAUGUUGUGAUAUUAACAAAUUCAUAACAAAGGGAUGAAUUGUCUCAUUGUUCAAAUCAUUGUUCACACACCAAGUGACGUAUUAAGCCUAUAUUACUG
rnacentral:misc_RNA from 1 species